AAUUGCAUUAAAUUUACGAAAGCUCUAAAUUUUCAUGGAGGUAUGAGGUCGCCGAACUCUAGUUGUUAAUAUGAGCGUAUUUAAUAAAAGACCAAUAUAUACUGGAAUGCUGCGGAUUAAGUCAUGUAGUAUCAGUACAGAAACUGUUAUACAUGUAAGUUUCUUUUGAGAUGUGUUGGAUGUUUGAAAGCACAAAAAGAAAAUAGGCUUCUUUCGCCUCUCAAUGGCAGCGCAAUGUUUCGAAGGAUGCUCGGGACAUUGUCAAAGGCACAGUGUGACUGUUGAAUCCUUAUCAUGAUCUAGGGCAGAGAUGUACCCACGUCAAGAAAGAUUUCAUCACGACAGCGAUAAUGCUGUCCAGGUACGUGCGUGUCUUGACUACGGCAGACGAAAAAGAUGCGCUCUUCGACGGCACGCUAGAAAGGCGAGCGGUCAGAGUCACGAGGGAAAUCGAGGUAGGACGAACAUGCUUCCUGACGUUGGAACGCACAACCUACCAAGGUUUUGUAGCUCUAAAGUAAUGAUUGGCGAGAUAUCACGACUAUGAAUCACAGGAGACGCAUGACUGUAGUAACGUGAUUAUAUGUAGAAUCUUGGAAGUAUUGAACUGUCCUUCUUUCAACGUUUAACCCGAAAGAAAGUAUUGUACUCUGAGUCAGUUUUUUCUUACUCAUGAUACAUACUAUACAGACUAUGUCUUGAUGUAUAUACAUCUUGUGCCCCCUUCUCCGCUCAGAGAAAUACAUGGUAGGAGGGUGACUGGGUGUGCUCGAGCAAAAUUGAAGGAGUUAUUACCACACAAACCUCCAAGAAGAGAGAGACUUUCUAUUUGUACUGGUUCGCUGAUUGCUGGCCUUUUCUGACUGCCGGCUGACAUAAUGAGUACAGUAUCGUCCACCGAGACGCCCCUCCCCAGGGGUGGAUGGAGCACAGUUCAAGGCAUAUUCGGGCUACUUCUACUACGCCAACUUGACCAUAGGAACUAGCACACGACAGGAUUGGAUGAGCUGUCAGACAUGGAGCUUGCCUUGUUCCCAAUCCUACUAGAGCACAGCCACCGGUCCAUGGAAGCUGUAGAUAUAAGAAGCACAACCAUACGGUACUAUGACUCCAUGGGGCUGACGAGUAAGAGCAUCGAAAAACUAGAAUUACCAACAAGUUCUGCAGAAGUCAUUCCACAAAGGUACGAGUGACACAGACGUGUAAGAAUGGGCAGCAGAAUAUCCCAAGGUAAGAUAUGAUUUGAUUUGAUUGCCAGUCAAGCAAAAUAUUAAGACAUAUUCGGUGUUUCUCCUCGAUUUAAUUCAACUCGUUUAAAAAUGAAGGAAAUGAUGGAAAUGUCGUGUAGUCAUUAGGAGAUAGCUUUAUCUUUCACCUAUUUGAACAUGGUGGCUGUAGUGCAUAGUGCAUGAAAUACUAAACGUACAAAGCAUAGCUAAAGUAGCUAAUUGCACUGUGACAGCCAUAUCUUAGGCUUGAUUCCGUCUUGGCAUGUUAGGUAAUAUCUUGUUAUCCAAGGUCUACAUAAUUACACAGACAGGGCUGCACAACAAAAGGCUAUAUAUAUAUGCAUAUAUAUGUAAAUGUACAUUUGAGUGACAGGUAUGAGAAGAGAAAAUACGUCGCAAAUUUACAGUUGACAAGCCACAUUUCCAUGUGUUCAAUGAGCUACAACCUGGGAACUAUUACAAUAAUCUGGAAAGUAGAACCUGCAUGCUGCUGGAUAUAUGCAAGUGGUGGAAAGGCGCAAUAGGUGAAAGAUAAAGUUAAGCCUCUAAAUGUAAAGUUAAACCUCUAAAAGAAGCUACGCUGAUGCCCAUUAUACAGCGAUGUUCCCUGCCUGGGUCAACAAUAUAUUCAGAUGGAUGGACCGCCUCCACAAACGUUAGACAGCUAUCAAACAUGGCAUCGUAUCAGUUUGUCAACCCCCCCGACUGCGAGCCGUGAGGGCCAAGAAGUUAGAGGUUAUCCGGGAAUCAAGAACAUACAAUGAUUUGGAAUACCAGUGUACUUCUGUCAUUACUUCAGUAUCUUCCACCUAAUCAAUUGUCUCACAUUUCGUGAUAUCUUUUGUCCUUAGGAUAUGAUAAAUGGCUUGAGUAUGCGACAGCUAAGGCCACUCGCCCACAAGAUGGCGACUACGCAGCCAGCCAUCAUCAUUGAUAUUAUGCUGAUGUGGAACCGGAGCCGGAGGUAACAACAACGUACCGGAGUGGUGUACUUGUGGAAACUGCCGAAACAUGCCGACGGAUAAGGAGAAAAUCUGUUGUGGUGGUGGACCAGAGUCCUGUCUCUCUGAUUGUAAUGUAAGUGGUGAAAUACCAUGGGACAGGGCCGAUGGGAGGCAGGGUCUGAGUGAUUGGCAGAAGACAUUUUGGUAGCAGCUAAGGCUGCAGGGCAGCUAUUGACAAACCUGAUGUAAGGUGUGUGGUGCACCUGGGGUGUUCCUUCCUCAAUCCAAGACUUCUUUCAGGAGUCGGGACGUGAAGGAUGGGAUGGAAGACAUGCCAAAACUAUCAUGCUUGUCAAGCCAGAGGACAAAGCUCUCAAGAAGACCGGUGAAAUGGAAGACUAACAGUAUAGCAGCCACGCCCUUCAAAGUCAAUCGGACAUGAUUUGUGACACCGAACUGUGAAGAAGAAAGCUUUUACUUGAAGUUUUUUUUUCAGAAAACAACAGUACGAUUGUAAUAGGACAUGCGAUGCGAUUCCAGUAUUGACAAACGCAGUUCAUAUGCAGGUGCAAGUAGGAUACCUCCUUGUCAGCUACACGCAUGAGGACGUUGAUCAGUUCUUCAGCAAGAUAGCGUCAACACUACGAAAGCAGGAUGCUACAACUCAUCAAGAACUGGUCGGCGUCAUCAAUCAGAGUUACCCCAACACGCAUACGGAGGAGCUCGACGCACUGCUGGAUGUGAAGGGGUUUCUCGGCAUCGUAAGCAACGACUUGGAGCAGCACAGCUGCCCUCAUGCCUAAAGGUUUACCAUGGGGCAUGACGAGAAGCCUGUCAUCCAGUACAUGGUAUUUGUUAUUAUGUUCUAGUCAUGUCAUGUUGAUAUUUGUGACACAGGUGCUUUUGUGUUUUACUGGUAGCGUUGUACUUGUAGCGCACAUAGUUUCCAAUCUCCUAUCCGAAUGUUACCCCUUUGUAUUGAGUUUUCCUAUUGAUAUUGGCGUUCGACAAGGGUGCGUUUUAAGCCCCACACUAUUCAACCAGUACAUCAAUGAACUUACAGAUGAACUUGAUUCAGAAAACUUAGACGUACAUCAAUGAACUUAUAGAUGAACUUGAUUCAGAAAACUUAGACGUUCCUGUUACAACACACACAAUUGAACAGCUUAUUUUAUGCUGACGACAUUGUUUUAUUAUCCGAAACUUAACAAGGACUACAGAACGCGAUUAACGCUCUUGGCCGAUCUUGCGAAAAAUGGAAAUUAACGGUCACAACAUGACCUUCGCUGCUGCGAGAUACCCGCUGCCAAAUCCCACCAUGCUUUGAUUACCGGCACAUCUCACUAAUACAUAUCUUGACUCUCAAAUUGUUUAUGUGCCUGUUUGUGGGAAAGUUGUGAAGUGAAGGGUGUGUUUUGUUUGGAUUGAUGGUAUGGCGGCGAAGAACGCUGAGUUGAGUGGCCAGAAGAAGGUAGAUAGGAAUGAAGCUGAAAGACUGCCAGAGGGAAUUAAAUGCGGCUUUGGAAAGGUUGAAAGUGGUUCUUCAGUCGACUGGAGUGAACACUGGGAGGAUGACGUAAGUAGAUGUUAUUAAUGCGGCAAUCAGAAGGGUUGAAGGAUGUAAGUGCUUGAUGCUGGCGGAGUAUCAUCAAUUGCAUUGGGAUUAACCAGCAGAUGCAUGGCUAUCGACGCCUUGCAAGGGCGGCAGCUAACUCGACAUUUUUGCAAAACAUGCCUACUUCAUUGUAUGUUAACAUUGCAUGUCUCUCUUCUUCUUCAAACUCAGGUCAAACUUGAUUUCCUGGUUGUGGGGCACACAUCGAUCAAUUCUUCAGCCGCAUUUCACACUUCCAGAACUGGAAUUUUUCAAAAGUAUUUUGAUGACCUUCAUUUGGGAUUUGCUUUUAUUCUUCAUAUGUGAUUAUUCAAAUUACAAAUUAAUUUAGAGGUUAUUGAAGAGCGUGAAAUCUGCAAACUUAUGAUCAUACGGACUGAGCUAACUUUCCUUCUUCAAACUCACCGUCUACAGAUCCCUUUUCUGGCCACUUCUACAGCGUCUAAGCGUCUCGUAAACACCCUGACAUCUACGCCUCUGAGUACGAUAUAAAAUAUCCCACUACUGACCACUGAGUUCAGAUCACGUCUUCUCCUUUGGCAAUUAAUAAUUUUCAAGUCGCAGACUGCUGUUUGUUGUAGCCUCUUUCGUUUGUGGGUACAAUAUAUCACACACAGAACAUCGAACCUAGAGAGGAGCAAGAAACAGCCCCUCCACGCAAGAAGCGGCGAAAGAAGCGCAAGGCCAAAAAUGGCGUGUUUCUCAACACGAAACCACUUUGAAGGUUUAUUCCAGGGGCUGGAAUUUUCAAACAUUGCUAUUGAGUCCCAAAAAUGGCCCAAACAGAACAAAGAAAUCUAAGCGGCUAUCACACCCGCCUUCGGAGACAAAUCUCAGACACCAGUCCAUGGCCAAAAUGUGGUGGCCAAGAAGAAGGCCCCACAUACUGGAAACACGUCUUCUGAUGCAAUGGAAGUGACCAACAGACCUCUAAAAGGUCAGCACUUUCCGAUGAAGAGGUUUAGACAAGAAAGCAGUUGUGGCAGGCUUGCCUGAAGGUGUACCCAAGGAACUCUCGACAAUUGGGAUCCCACAACUGCACAAACACCUGGCAGCCCUGCAGCAAACGGACAACAAAGGUGGCGAUGUCUUUGUAUGGGAGAGCUGUUCUCAGAAGUUAUAUCAUAUAUAGUCAGCAUGCUGAGCCACCAGUGAUGUCCAGAUACAAGUACAUGGUGUCCAUAGUAGAAUCUCUAGUAGGUGACUACUUGCCCCACCUGGCAAGGUUUAUAGCAGAAACGGCGAUCGGCAAUUUUUCACCUGGAUUCCUAUGAUCAUUUUUCAUUGUGUGUACUUUUAGUCAAUGUAUUUUGUACCAAGCCCUGGCGUCCUAAUGAAUGACAGGUCAUAUGCUUGAUUUGUCUCGGCUACAUUUGGCGGGCUUUCUGUCUUCUCUGGACACACUGCUUGAGCAGCACUUGGACCUGAUUUACUCUGAGCAGACAAGUAACUGGAAUUUCAGCAUCAUGCCUACCAAAAGGCAGUUAGAAGGUUAGUGAAUGCAUUCUUUAACUCUCACUAUGUCCUACUUAUAUUAUGUGAGAAUUGAGUAUCAUUUUUGUACACUAUGGAAGGAUUUAGUUCCACAACCCAAGCUCAGAGUGGGACAUGAGAUGUUGUUAGCUCCGGCCAAUUAUUAGCUCCAUUGUUUCUCACUGUCAUUUUGUAACAUCAGUUGAAAGAUUGUGCAAUUCCUUUUAAGAAUAAGAAUUGCUAUCCCAGUUGAUUUUGUAGUAAAUGAGGAAUUUUCAUUAAACACGAGUUGUCUUACUAUUAUGACCAGUGGUGCAGGUUUCAUAAAAAAACAAACCAAAUAACUGGCUUGCAUUGACAAUAUUGCUAAACCAAAAGGCAACCCUGCCCAACUUGUGAACUAUAUCUAUGCUUCAAAUUUGCAAUUUGCCAGAGACAUUCUGAAUACUGUUCCUUGCUUUGCCACUUGCCCAAUGUGUCUAUUGGUGCUUAUAUUAGCAGAGCCACAUAAACAGUCAAAGUGCCAUGCAAAUGCCUUAUAAAUUGUAUAUACACCAUUUUUAUAACUGGAAAUUGUCAAGCUUUUAACUUAUAAAAGGUGUACCGGGCCAGAUGAUAAUUCUGUAUCACAUUCGGUUCAACUUUUUAUCACACGGGCUUCCAACAAAAAAAGUAACACAAUUUGGUUUUAAGAUUUCCGACCACACCAGACUUGGUCCAAACAAUAUUUACAGUAUGAUGCUAUGUACAAGUAUGAAAGAAUGCAUAAUCUGGCAAGAAAGAUGAUACUAUCAAAAGGGCACAUGCAUAUGUAUAGUAGAACUCAUAUAUGGCUGCAAAAAGCAAAUUACUGAGUAUACUGAUAUCUAUUGAUCUUUAUUUUCUUAGCAAAACGUGGAGAGCCAUUCUGGUUCUAUAUUUGGUUUGGUUUGGAGGGGUCAAUGAUUGAGAGCAAACACAUCACCUCACCAGAAGAUCUGUCCUACAACAAUCUGGAGCAGUUGAAGAACACUGCAGUCCAGGUGCUGUGGGGGAAGGUCUGCUCAGGGCAGUUGAUCAACUGGACACCACCUGGUAAGAACUCAUAUUAAGAUGUUACCUUGCCUUCUCAGCAUUUGCUCAUGUAUCAUUGGCUGACUAGUAGAAUGUUUUCUGAAUAACAAUUUGGGAUACUGCCUUAUUUUUGUUCUGAAACUCUUUUUCCCAAAUAGUACACUUCAACGUUUGACAUAAUGUUAAUGCCUUUCUGGGGGUUAUAAAGUCCAAGUUAAGGCAUUAUGAGAUGUAUAAUGCCAUAGUGCAUCAGUUAUGACUUGCUAAUGCGAUGAUGCUUUUUACAGCUUGUAAAUAAGCACGACAAAUAGCCUAAUCAGAGCACAAUGUCAAUAAUGACAAUGUUUUACUAGAGGACCGAUGAUA